UAAUUACUUUUGUUAGGA
rnacentral:snRNA from 1 species